UACGUAGGGUGCGAGCGUUGCCCGGAUUUAUUGGGCGUAAAGGGCGCGUAGGCGGCCACGCACGUCCGUUGUGAAAUCGCCCGGCUCAACCUGGGCGGGGUCAGCGGAUACGGUGUGGCUCGAGCAAGCUAGGGGGCAAUGGAAUUCCCGGUGUAGUGGUGGAAUGCGUAGAUAUCGGGAGGAACGACCGGUGGCGAAGGCGGCGACCUGGGUAGAUACUGACGCUGAGGUGCGAAAGCGUGGGGAGCAACAGG
rnacentral:rRNA from 1 species